rnacentral:rRNA from 1 species
UCGAACGGGAUAUAUAAGGAGAUAAGGUGUUUACAUUUUAAGGAAUUAUAUAUUCAGUGGCGGACGGGUGAGUAACGCGUGGGUAACCUGCCUCAUACCGGGGGAUACCACCUGGAAACAGGUGCUAAUACCGCAUAACACAUUCCGGUGCAUGCCGGGAUGUUGAAAACUCCGGUGGUAUGAGAUGGACCCGCGUCUGAUUAGCCAGUUGGCGGGGUAACGGCCCACCAAAGCGACGAUCAGUAGCCGGCCUGAGAGGGCGGACGGCCACAUUGGGACUGAGACACGGCCCAGACUCCUACGGGAGGCAGCAGUGGGGAAUAUUGCACAAUGGGGGGAACCCUGAUGCAGCGACGCCGCGUGAGUGAAGAAGUAUUUCGGUAUGUAAAGCUCUGUCAGCAGGGAAGAAAGAGACGGUACCUGACCAAGAAGCCCCGGCUAACUACGUGCCAGCAGCCGCGGUAAUACGUAGGGGGCAAGCGUUAUCCGGAUUUACUGGGUGUAAAGGGAGCGUAGACGGCAAUGCAAGUCUGGAGUGAAAGCCCGCGGCCCAACUGCGGGACUGCUCUGGAAACUGUAAUGCUUGAGUGCAGGAGGGGUAAGCGGAAUUCCUGGUGUAGCGGUGAAAUGCGUAGAUAUCAGGGGAAACACCGGUGGCGAAGGCGGCUUACUGGACUGUAACUGACGUUGAGGCUCGAAAGCGUGGGG